CUGUUUUGUUUUUUUUUUCGGCAUAAAACUGUACGCUGCUGUCGACGUCAGCCGAGAAUUCGGAGCAGCGUAGAAGACUUCCGACGAAAGCAUUUUGGCAAAAAAGAGAGGCAGAUCUUCAGAUAUUACCCUCUCUUUCUGUGUCUUAUAAUCUGACAGCCAUCGGCUCUCAGAGAGCAACAUUCGGCCGGUGAUAUCUUUUGCGUCUCUCCGUUAUGUUUAGAAAAAAAACCAAAAGAAGAAGAAGACCUGGUGCAUUCUGUUUGAGUUAUGAAAAGUGAAGCAGCGGCUGUUUAAAUUGUGCGCUGAGACACAUUCAAAUUUAUUAUAAGUGAUAUUUAAAAAAAAAAAAUCAAGUCAGGAAAGUGCUUCCUUAAGUUGAAGAUGUGCGUUGAUCCUUUAUAGGUUUUAUAACAUGACCCAAAAAAUUCCGGUUCCGUUACCCAAAAGUGGCGUGAUGAAAGCAGUUUGAAAAGGAGCGUUGGACCGGGAUUCGAAGGACUCGAAAAGAAAAGCAAUUUUAAAUUUUAAAAGCAAAUUAUCCAAAAAAAAAAAAUAGACUUCUCAAUAAUAAUUGUACUUCUACAGAAAAUGUAAAUGAUAUAAAUGAAGUUAA